rnacentral:rRNA from 1 species
UACGUAGGGUGCGAGCGUUAAUCGGAAUUACUGGGCGUAAAGUGUGCGCAGGCGGCGUCGCAAGUCGAGUGUGAAAGCCCCGGGCUUAACUUGGGAAUUGCGCUCGAAACUACGGUGCUGGAGUAUGGCAGAGGAAGGUGGAAUUCCACGUGUAGCGGUGAAAUGCGUAGAGAUGUGGAGGAACACCGAUGGCGAAGGCAGCCUUCUGGGCCAAUACUGACGCUCAUGCACGAAAGCGUGAGGAGCAAACAGG